UAGGUACCAGUGAGCCAGGUACCUUUGUGAGCAACAAAGCCCACAAAAAGCUGCUCUAUAUUGUGGGUUUCUCUCUGGGUGCCAUAUUCUACGGAUUGGUAAUUUUGUCUGCGAGACUAAAAUACGCUCUGUAUAUAUGGGCUGCGUUAUCCGUAACGUGGGUAACGUUUUGGUUUGGUGUCAAUCAAGACAUCCAUCCCAAAAAGGAUUUCGUCAAAAUGGUGUUAAUCAUUAACUCCAUUUUGGCAGCCAUAUUCUUUUUUAAAACACUCUUCCAUGUUGGAGUGUAUGAAAGCCUUCAGUUUCUGAAGAAGAACCUCUCUUUUUGGGGUCCAACAAACGGUUUUCUCAGCUUCAUAGAGAAAGCUAAUCCUUGGCUUGCCAAGUGUGUAGGCUUUUCUUCCGCGGCUCCUCCUGCUGCCCCCGCACCCGCUGCAGCCUCCGCAACCCCUGCUGGCGAUCCUGCCGCUGCUGCUGCCAUUGCUGCUCAUGUUUAGGGUAGGUAGGGUUUAGGGUAGGAUCUACAUUUAAAAGACUUUUUUGUCAUCUGUUUGGUUGCCGAGAAUAGGAGGGAAACGGAAGAAUGAAACCGCUGAGUAUUAAUGCCGAUUGACUAGAAAAAAGGAGUGAAAUAUUGUCAAUCUGUUUGGUUGCCUAGAAAAUUUCCAGUAGCCAUACGAGGGCUCAAACUUUCUGUAGUGUGUAUUUUGACUAAAUUACUGAAUGACCAAGGCCAUUUUUGUGUUUCCUAGUAGAUUA